CCUGGGCCGCAGCUCCCCCCGAAGAAGCGGGGCGCCCACGCGAGAAUCUGCCCGCCAGGUUCUCUCUUCAGGGAUGACAUCACCAUUCACCUCCUCGUCUACAAGGCCCACCUGUUGAUGAGCCGUGCUUGCUGCCACAACUCCACCGAAUGAGGAUGCCAGGAGCACCGAUCCCUGGGUCCCACCAGCGUACCAAGCAGCCACUGGCAGAGACCCCCCAGGACCAGAACCAGGACCAGGACCAUGGAGGCUGAAGAGGACCAGAACUGACCGGCCAGCUGUUCCUCUGGGCUAAAGACUUAGACCAAUGCCCUAGUGAGGGGGCAUUGGGCACUAACCCCCUGACCUUUGCUACGCUUGUGCCUGUUGCUAUGAAUAAUUUCCUGUAAGUCUCUGCUUGUGUUAAUGUGCCAGCGACCUGGAGUGUUUCCCUCCCCAAGAAGGUGUCAGUCUUUCUCAGCUGACCCUGUUGCUGCCCAUAUGAUGUCCUGAACGGAAGGUUCCCUUUGGGAACUCCUCAGGAGGGGGACCUGGGCCAAGGGCCCCGCCAGCAUCACGCUGGCAAUUCCAAGGCCCAGGUUGGCUUCUGGAAUGGGGAGCAUGAGCCCUGACGUCGUGGGCAUCCCCGCCUCUUUUGGGACCUCUGUGUCCCUUCUGGGCAAUGGUGACGAGGAGAGCAACCUCCCAGGGUUGUUGUGAGUAUUAAAUGAACUAAAUUAGUCUAGGGUAGGGCUGGGCAUAGAGGAGGCGGUCAGCAAACGUUUGUUGAAAGGUAGGUAGGUCAGUCCAUGCCCACCUGUGUCACCUGUCUCAUGCCUCUUGUUUGUUCCCCCACAGCGCUCCGCCAGCCCCUGCCCACGGGGCUCUGCUGCACAGGUAGGGGCGCCGCGGCGCAGGGUGAUGGGCCGACUUGCACAGGGACGUGAAUUCUGCAUGCGGCCAUUUCCAGAGCACUUUCUAUGUUCUCUGAAUGUGUUAUUUCUGUGUCAGACCUAGAGGUGAUGCAUCCUCAUUUACAGAUGGGAGUUAAUUCGGCCCUGACUUGAGUAAUUUUAAAAAGGCGGGUGGGGACUGAGCGCCCCUCCCAUGGCAUACAUUCACAGUGAGGGCGCUGAGGCUGGAGGAAUGUAAGUGUUUUGUCACAUUGCUGGAAAGACAAGGGGUCAGAGUCGGACCCUGGGUGACAUUGUAGCUACCCCUUACCCCCUGGCCCAGAGUUAGACUAAGAGCUUUUGAUUUCUAAUCAAGCAUCUGACAGCGGGACAGUCUGUUUGAAAUCCUAGCUGCCCAGGGUGGUCUUGGGGGUCUGGGUGGCCCCAAUGCUGCUCCCAUGUGCUGGCUCCACCUCAAUAGUGGGGUGACCUUACACAAGUCGCUUAACUUCUCCAGGUCUCAGUUCCUUUCAUGGUCUAAAUGAGGAUUUAAAAAAAAAAACAAAAAAACACACCCGCCUUUAUCUACCCCACAGGGGGGCUUUUGGAGACCAAAUGAUGUAACUAUGAAAGUGCUUUGUAAAUCGCUGUGGAGGUUGCAAGGUCCUUAACACUCCGAUUGUUUGCAUGCCUGGCCCUAAUAAUUGGGCUAGCACCCAGUAGGUGCUGUGAGUGUUUGCGCUCAGUCAGUAAAUUUCAGAAUGAGUAAGGACAGAAUUAAUUCAACAAACCUUUUCUGAAACACCGACAAUAUGCCCAGCACACCAGGCCUGGUACGUGACGGAUACAAAGGUGAUGCAAACAGUGUCUCGGAAGCUAAUUGGGGCCCUCACUUGGCCAGCACUCUUUCUCCGUCGCCUUUUAAGCCAACCAGUUUUGUCCAGACAAGACAAAAACCACUCGGGCCGCUUUGAGAAGCCCGGCCUGGUGUAGACAAUAGCUCCCGGGCCUCUGAAAGGGCCUGAUUGGAUUAUAUGGCAAAUGAAGGUGGCAGGGUGACUUGGAAGGUGACGAAUGAAGUGGGCGGAGAUCUGCUUCGAGUUAAUCCAGGCUAUUAGGAGGGAACCUUUUGUCUUCCAGAGGCUAGCGGGAGCUUUUACCACUGCUUUUUACAUCCUUAAUGUAAGGACGCAUAAUUUACGGUCAGUGAAGUCCAGGCCCCGGUGAGAUUUGAGUGGGCUGGAAAACAGAGCCUCCCACUACCAGCGAGUAAUUAUGGCGAACAGUUGAGUCUCCCUUUGCUGUUUGCAAAGGCCUUUUUGCAACUGUUCAAAUCAUUUGAACCUCACAACUCCCUGUCCCGACCCGGGGCUGGCCUGCCGCCUCCCAAGGGAGCGGAGGCUGUUAAGGGGCCCUCCAGAUUGGGGUUCCACAGCACAUUUGCACCCAUUGCCUCUUGCCUUGUAAAGGAAGAGUUGUCGUGCACUGGUCACUUCUGUCUCACCUCUGGCCACCGGCUACACCCUCUGAUUUCCUAACUGCUCUCUCUGCAGCCUGAGCCUCCCCGGGCUCCCCCUGUCCUCCUGUCUGGCCACUACCGUUUCUCUCUUUCCUUUCGCAGCCAAGCUUCUCCAAAGGCCUUCUCCACUCGCUGUCUUCCUUCCUCACCUCCAAUUUCCUCUUCAACCCACUGCUUCCUGCCUUCUCUGCUCCGUCGAGCGGCUCUCACUUAAGGUAUCCCAUGGCCUGCCCUGUCCCUGUGAGUCCCGGACCCUGCCCACCCCAGGUCACCCCAGCCCUGUGGCUUUUUCUGCCAUUGCUCAUCCCCGUGAGCCACCUCCCCCCACCGAAAACCAGACUUCAGGCUGACCCUGGGCUGGGUCAGCUGAAGAACCAAUGGAAGAGUCAGAAGAGCUCCCGAGGACCACCGCCCUGGACCAAGCCCACCUUCCCGACAGCCACCUGGUGUCUCGUGCCCAGCCUCCCACCUCCAUCCUGGUUUAGGCCGAAGUCGUCAUCAGGAAUCCUCCGUGGGAUGGGACCUUCGACACGCGACCCCAGCACCCUGCACCUGUAAAAUCCCUCCACAGCCACGGGGACGCCCUGCACACAUAACCGCGGGACAGGCUGGACCCAAAGACUCUGGACCCGGGCUGCCCCUGCAAGGAGGAGUGUGCCCUCCUCAACCUCCCCUGCAGUAGCCACCCACUCUUUGCUGAUGGACUUCACUGAGCUGAGGGCCAGACAUGUGGGCUUGACCCUUGCUCACCCCACUCGAACCCUGAGACUUAGGGGACCAGCUGCGCCUUCGACGUCCGCGUCUGGGAAAGGGGCUCUCCACCUACCUCACAGGGUUGUUGUGAGGAGCCUGUGAUGUGGUUUGACACCCUAUUGUGCUCUCAAUAAAUGUCUUUUUUGCCUUACAAA